rnacentral:lncRNA from 1 species
GCGUGAUCAUUCAAGACUCAACAUUUAGUCAUUUCCAUUUUAAUUAAGUUGUAAUUUAGUUUUCUAGAAGCCCUUAAUUAGAAUUAGGUGUUUUGGACCCCUUUAGGGGCAUUUUCUUAAAAACCAAUUGUGGGGGUCAUGUGGCAUCCCUAUAGGGCUGACUUGUAGUGUAUGGACCCCACCAAAAAUUGAUUUUCUCGGUUUUAGAAGGUAGAAUACCGAGCCACCACACACACACUUCCAUAACUCAAGGUUUUGGUUCAUUUUCCUAGGGUUUCUCUUGUUUUGGACAUGCUCUCAUGGGUGCUUGCUUGGUGCACGGUUUUGGACCAUUUUCAAUGAAUAUUAUGAAGAUUUUCUUCUUCCCUUGACUCACUCUUGGUUGUCUUAACUCAUUGGUGGUGAAAAUCCAUUCAUUCCUCCUUCCAUUUGCUUAUUUUUUAUGUUUGAAGCUUGAGUUUUUAAGCUUGUCUUUGCUUUUCUAUGGUGGUUGUUGGGUUUGAGUGACUUUAGAUUUUCGUUUCCUCUUCCAUUGCUGCUGUUCCUCACGUUUUUCUUUGCAUUUUAUUUGGUUGGUUGAUGAAAAUGGAAUUAUAUGUGAGUUUUGGGUUGAAUAGAGCUUAACUUGAUGUGUGGGUGUUGUGGGUUUGGCUCUUUUCCUUCAUAUUUCGGUUUUGAUGUUUGAAACUAGUUUGGAACCAGACUUUGAUGAUGUUACUGGGGCUAGACAGUGGUUGAGUUGAAUGGUAUAAUGUUAUUUUCGUUUUUUGCACAAGAGCUUGAAAAAAUGGAAGAUUGGGUUGAGUUAAAGUAGUAGUAGUGUAGGUUUAUUGUCUUGAAUGGAGUUGCAACUUCAAAUGGGGUCUCUUGGGUGCUCUUACGUUUUUAAAUGGUUUUUAUUUUAAAAAAAAUGGACCACUUUCGUAAUAUUAACUGCUUUAUAAUAUUAACUAAAAAGAAAUAAAAUAAAUGAGAAAUAUAUAAUAUUAAAUAAUAUAAUAUUGAAAAUGUAACCUCUCUUCUGUAUAAGGCUAAGAUUCUUCACUUGGUCCAUUUUAUUCGACCAUCAAACG